rnacentral:tRNA from 1 species
GGAGGCGUGACCGAGUGGCCGAAGGUACAUGCUUGCUAAGCAUGCGUAGGAGCAAUCUUACCAAGGGUUCAAAUCCCUUCGCCUCCGCCA